AUUGUUGGCCGGUAUGAAUGGCGUCACGAAGGCCCCACUGUCUUAAGAGGACUUUCCAUGAAAUUGAAUUCGUAGUGAAGAUGCUACGUCCAUAUUGUAAGACGAAAAGACCCCAUUGAGCUUUACUAAAAACUUGCAUGGCUCAAAAUAAUUUGAUUUAAAUAAAGAGUUUAGAUAAUGUGGGAUCCGUUUCCGGUUAAUGAAACACCACUCUUUUAUUUUAAAAGAGCUAACAUUGCAUGGAUAAUGUAAGUUGGAUAGUUUGGUUGGGGCGACCACCUUUUAAAAGGUAACGAAGGUGAGCUUAAGGUCCGUAGUUAAUAGCCGGUGGCCUGACUGCAAGGGGGACGUCUCGAGCAGACACGUCCUUAAGGAUGUGGGCUAUAG
rnacentral:rRNA from 1 species